rnacentral:rRNA from 1 species
UACGUAGGGGGCAAGCGUUGUCCGGAAUCAUUGGGCGUAAAGAGCGUGUAGGCGGCCCGAUAAGUCCGCCGUGAAAGUCCAGGGCUCAACCCUGGAAUGCCGGUGGAAACUGUCGGGCUGGAGUCCGGAAGAGGCGAGUGGAAUUCCUGGUGUAGCGGUGAAAUGCGCAGAUAUCAGGAGGAACACCAAUGGCGAAGGCAGCUCGAUGGGACGGUACUGACGCUGAGACGCGAAAGCGUGGGGAGCAAACAGG